GAUGAACGCUGGCGGCGUGCUUAAUACAUGCAAGUCGAGCGAACAGACGAGGAUCUUGCUCCUCUGACGUUAGCGGCGGACGGGUGAGUAACACGUGGAUAACCUACCUAUAAGACUGGUAUAACUUCGGGAAACCGGAUCUAAUACCGGAGAAUAUAUUGAAGAGCAUUGUUGAAUGGUAAAAGAUGGUUGGGUGGGUAGUUAGAUAGGUAUUACGGUUGGUUUAGGUAGUUGUUUAGGUAAAGGGUUACCAAGGCAACGAUGGGUAGGCGAGCUGAGAGGGGGGUCGGCCACCUUGGAACUGAGACGCGGACCAGACUCCUACGGGAGGCCGCAGUAGCGAAUCUUCCACACUAGUCUAAAACAUUACACAACAACAGCAAGUCAGUUAUGAAGGUCUUCGGAUCGUAAAACUCUGUUAUUAGGGAAGAACAAAUUUCUCAUUAAAUAUGCCCGUAUUAACAAUCACUCAUCAGAAACCACCGGCUAACUACCUG
rnacentral:rRNA from 1 species